rnacentral:rRNA from 1 species
UAAGGAAUAUUGGUCAAUGGACGCAAGUCUGAACCAGCCAUGCCGCGUGGAGGAUGAAGGCCCUCUGGGUUGUAAACUUCUUUUAUGGGGGACGAAAUCACUUAUUCUUAAGUGUCUGACGGUACCCCAAGAAUAAGCACCGGCUAACUCCGUGCCAGCAGCCGCGGUAAUACGGAGGGUGCAAGCGUUAUCCGGAUUCACUGGGUUUAAAGGGUGCGUAGGUGGCUUUGUAAGUCAGUGGUGAAAUCUCGGAGCUUAACUCCGAAACUGCCAUUGAUACUGCUUAGCUUGAAUCAAGUAGAGGUGGAUGGAAUAAUACAUGUAGCGGUGAAAUGCUUAGAUAUGUAUUAGAACACCGAUUGCGAAGGCAGUUCACUAUGCUUGUAUUGACACUGAGGCACGAAAGCGUGGGGAUCAAA